UACGUAGGGGGCAAGCGUUAUCCGGAUUUACUGGGUGUAAAGGGAGCGUAGACGGUACGCCAAGUCUGAAGUGAAAUGCCGCAGCUUAACUGCGGAACUGCUUUGGAAACUGGCGGGCUAGAGUGCGGGAGGGGUAAGCGGAAUUCCUAGUGUAGCGGUGAAAUGCGUAGAUAUUAGGAGGAACACCGGUGGCGAAGGCAGCUUACUAAGCCAUAACUGACACUGAAGCACGAAAGCGUGGGGAUCAAACAGG
rnacentral:rRNA from 1 species